rnacentral:lncRNA from 1 species
UUCAGCUAGAAGUUGGGGGACCCAGAACUUAGCCUGGGGACUGGUGAUUCUCUCCAGAGCCCUCGGAGCCAGAGCGGCCAGGUGCCAGGUGUGGCUGCUCAACCCCUAGGUUUUCAGUGUCCUUCUUCGGGGCCACUGUCCCUCCAGGCAGUAUGCACAGUGGUUAGGAGCCUCACUAAGAAGAGGGGCUGUGACACCUCUGGAGGUUAAUGGACGUGACAUGCAGAAUGCACCUGGAACACACCUGGCCCUAGAGAGUGCUCCACAGUGGCCUCUGCUCCCUAGCCACCAUUCUCUGUGGCGCUUUAAAAUCCGCCUGCAGGGUGAUCUCAUGUGCUGCCCUCACCGCUGGCCGGUAGGACUUACAGGAAGGAAUCAGGCCGAACCUCUGGAGUGGCACUUUUAUUCUAAGACCACUUCCAGGGAUGAAGGAGGAAAGACGUAGUCAUCUGCUUGCCCCAGCUCACAGCCGGACGCUGCGGCUUUUGGAAAAUAGCCACCAUGAAGCCGGUGGCCCUGGUCCCCCUCUCGAGGUAUCAUAAAGCCAUUCAUAACGGCAUAAACGCCUGACAACACUCCCUGAUGCCAGCCCGGGCAUCAAGUUGAAGCCCUUUCAAGCGAUCAUCGGCUCCCUGGGAAAUGCCUUUUCUCUGUUACCUGGCACAGCCGAACAUCAAGAAGAAACGUGGAAAACAUCACACUGACCCCCCAGAAAAAUGAAAGAAAAGUACGGAAGAGACCAAUUCCCACCCUUGCUAUAGACGGAAUAAGUAUGUGCGUUUGUGAACCUUAAGUGUUCAUCUAAAUAUGUUGCUUCAACGGAGAUCCGCUUGUGGAUACAGACACACGAAAAUACACGAGACCACGCUCUAUUUUAAGGAAUUGCUGAAGAGUGUUGAACACUCAAACCCACCGCACAGCACCCUCGCAGCUAAGAGCACAAUUGAAUGAAACCAGCGGAUUCAUUUAUUUUAACCUCCACUGGAGCUGUCCCAAAAAAGCAGGUGGCUAUUGAAAGUGUUUUUCUGUUUUUGUCUUUUUUUUUUAAUUCUAAAUAACAAGAGGGAUAAAAAUUAAUGUCGUUCUAUGGGGUCUGAACAUGAAAAGGUACGAGAGAGUGAGCCAGGGCCUGUGAAAUGGCUAAACGGAUUAGUAGCCUUACUUUUCAACAUAUAAACAUCUGAAACCCGUUUCCUGUUUAAGAAAAAAAAAGUCUAGGUGGAUGACCUCGGGCACUUUUUUUUUAUUAACAAAUGUGAAUUGUACAUCAUGGUGGGAAAAAAAAAAAAUGGUCCGCUCUUGGUGGUCUUUCUACAGUCUGUAUAUGGGAGACAGAGAAAAAAAUACAAAAAUAAA